ACUGAGGAAUGAUGACGAUAAAAGGCCGAAUUGCAGUGUCUCCAUAAGCAGUUUGCUCUCCCUGGAUGCACGAUGACAAAAUCUCCUGAAGCGAACCUUUGGUCUGACCUCAGU